GAUGAACGCUGGCGGCGUGCCUAAUACAUGCAAGUCGAGCGAACAGACGAGGAGCUUGCUCCUCUGACGUUAGCGGCGGACGGGUGAGUAACACGUGGAUAACCUACCUAUAAGACUGGGAUAACUUCGGGAAACCGGAUCUAAUACCGGAUAAUAUAUUGAACCGCAUGGUUCAAUAGUGAAAGACGGUUUUGCUGUCACUUAUAGAUGGAUCCGCGCCGCAUUAGCUAGUUGGUAAGGUAACGGCUUACCAAGGCAACGAUGCGUAGCCGACCUGAGAGGGUGAUCGGCCACACUGGAACUGAGACACGGUCCAGACUCCUACGGGAGGCAGCAGUAGGGAAUCUUACGCAAUGGGCGAAAGCUUGACGGAGCAACGCCGCGUGAGUGAUGAAGGUCUUCGGAUCGUAAAACUCUGUUAUUAGGGAAGAACAAAUGUGUAAGUAACUAUGCACGUCUUGACGGUACCUAAUCAGAAAGCCACGGCUAACUACGUG
rnacentral:rRNA from 1 species